UUAUGUUCAUUCUGACGCACAGGUUCUGCCAAUGAUGCUUCCCACGAAGUUUAUUUUUCUAAGAAAGCAAUUUACUCGGAAGAUUUGCACAAUCCAUCAAACCCUGCAAAAAACACUAACUCGAAAGAAAAAGAAUAAAAAUCAAAUAUUACCUCGAAAUGAAAAGUUUGCAUUUUAUGACUUUGUUUAUCAUUUAUGAAAAAAAUUAAAUUGAUUCGAUUAUUAUAGCCACGUGAUUUUAUUGUGCAAGUUCUAAAAGGGGACAAUGUAUUUUCAAAUGACAGUUGUUCUUAUUAUUUUUGACGAAUGUGAUGAAUUCGUGGUUACUGUUAACUAAUUUGAUCGCGGUUACUGUUAACGAAUUCGAUCUAUUUUUUCAUCGAUCUAAAUGAAAAGACAUAAAAAGAUGACUCGUGGUUACUAGUAACCGAUUCGAUCUGUUUUUUCAUGAUUGAUCUAAUUGAAAAGACAUAUAAGAUAGACGGAUUAGAUCAUUAAUAUGGGAUUUAUGUUGGACCCGUUAUCUUGAAUUGGAUACAACCAGUUAGCAUCUUCAAAAGGACCAGACUUAUCUCUAAUCCCAUUUUGAGACUGGGCUCAUGCAUCUUAGUAAUCCUAACUAACCAUUCAUCUUGCAGCGCUAAGCAUAUCAAUCACGAAUAUGAUAAGAUCACAUGAAUAGCCUUGCAUAAAUCUAUAUUUUUUUUUUGAUGAAUAAUUUGUUCAAAAUGCCCUACAAUGUAACUGGAUCGUCCAGUCCCAACAGUCUUUGGUGGGCCUAGAUGGGCCUUCUCCAGUCAAGUACGCCUCGCAUGGGAUUAGCUUCAUCACAUCCCCUGGCAUCCCAAGCCAUUGCACCCACAACCAACACAAACAAGCACAUCACCCAAAUAUAGACCGCCCAAUGGCCUUUCUUCCCAUCUUCACCUCUAGAAAUAGAGGGAAAGAGAGAGAGAGAGUUUGUUAAAUGGUUGGGUGUUUUGCCCCACAUAACCCUAUUUAUAAUUUGAAGAUGGAUAAUGAAAUAAUUAAUCCAU
rnacentral:lncRNA from 1 species